ACAGAUUUCACAUAUUUUCCUUUUUCUUUUUCCUCUGCAAAGAAAGAUGGCUGCCAGGGAUUUCUUCAAACUGCGUACAGAACGACUAAAACCACCAUCACAUGUGAUUAUCCAGGAAACAAACACAGGUCCAGUGUCAAGUUUAUCUGCAGAGAGAAUAAUUUCACUUGUGAGGAGAUUUUAUCAACGAGAUCUUCUGUAAAGUCAAACGGGACCUUCAAUCUCACAGAAACCAACAGAGGAUUCAGUGUGUCCAUCAGUAAUGUGUCCUCACAUGAUGCUGGUCUCUACUGGUGUGGAGUGAAUAAAGGAAAUUACCGAACUGGACUCAGAAAAAUCCAACUGAAGGUUGAAGGUGAGCAGCACACAUCUGACACUUCUAGGUUUGAUUCACUCACACAUAUAACUGAGGUCUCUCUGAAAUAUGUUGUUAAAUACAGUCAAUGCUGUCUGUCUACAGAUAUUAGGACAUUCACAAAGUCUCCAACUAUUGGACAGAAUUUUACAUACUGGUGUGAAUAUAAAAAUGAUCCUCCGAUAAAGAAAUUCAUCUGUAAGGGAGAAGAUCCAUCUAUAUGUCAACCACUGAUCACUACACAGCAAAAGAAGAACACAAAGUUUUCCAUGAAGGAAGACAAAGAGAAGAGAAAUAUCACCAUAACAGUGAGAGAAGUAACAGCAGACGACAGUGGGACAUACUGGUGUGGAGCAGAAAGCACUGACAGAAGACGCAGUAACACAUUCUUCCACAGAUUCUUGAUGACUGUAGUGUCAACAAUUCCCUCUUCAACCUCAUCACCACCUGUAACACAACCAGCUACUGUUUCUAAUGACGCCUUUGGUAAGUAAGCAUGUUUGUUAUUUUAAACCUUCAGGCCUAAAUCUAGUUUAGAAACAGAACUAAAUGACAAUGGGGAAAUACCUCUCACUACAAACAGUUAAUCAUUUGUAAAAGGUAAAAUCCCUCAACACAACCAGCUCUGGAUGUUAAUGCUAGGUGUUGAUGGGGUUAUUUUUUGGAUGUAUUAUUUGAUGUCUUGUUUUCUUGUGCAGAUCUCACAUCUGUGCAGACCAUUGCUCUGGCUCUCUCUCUGGAUGUGCUGCUGUUGCUGCUGAUGCUCACUUCAUACUUCAUCUACACACGUAAGAUAGUCCUUCACUAGUUUCCAUCAAACACCUCCACUCACACACAAACAGACCACAAACACAUUUUAACCGUAACAACAAAAUAUAUUUUAUGGGCCGGGUACGUAGAUUGGGUUUCAUUAAUUCAGAUAAAUUAAGUGUUCAAACUUUAAAGUGGCAGCCCUAUCAUGUAAAACAGUAAUAAAAGACAUUGUUAUGCGUUCCAGUAUAUUUUCAGGCCUCCUCCAUAAUGUACCAAAAGCUAUAGUAGUAGCAGUAUUUUAGCCUCCGGUUCCUUCGACUCAGUGGGUUUUUGGUUAGAUGGUUGUGAUUGUAGAUUUUAAUUAAAGGAUUUUAAGUCCAGUGUGUAACAUUUAGGAGGAUCUAUUGGCAGAAAUGGAAUAUAAUAUUCAUAGAUAUGUUUUCAUUAGUGUAUAAUCACCUGAAUAUGGGAAUUGUUGUGUUUGUGUUACCUUAUGAUGAGCUGUUCUUAUCUACACACAGCUUGUUCUCAUUUCCAGGUCAUUAAAUGAAGAUGCGAACAGUGUUCAGUUAGUUUAUCUGCAACUUCAUCUCUAGAUGCCACUAAAUCCUACACACUGGUCCAUUAAUUACAAGUUGGAUGUUUAGUGUUGACGUUGAAGUCAUGCAACCAUGUUGUAGUUAUGUAGUCUAACAUUGCGUUUGCACGAACAGAAAAAUCCCUGUAGCACUCUAUACUUUAUCUACAUGAAUACUGACAGUGUAUGGUCAUUUCUCAUUCAUUUCUACUACAAAACCAUUUCUCUUUCUUUCCUGUUUUUGACAGGUUUUGCACCUUGUAAGAAAACAAGGAGAGGAGCAUGAAGGAAAAGCAAACAGGUUAGUGUGUGAAAUAUGAAUAUAAAUAUAUAUUAUUUAAGUAACAAUUACAUCUAAGCUAUACCCAAAAGCAGUGUUUUGGUUACCACACAAGAUUCAUAUUAUAUAAAUGACAGAAUAAUACAUAAUAAAUAAUAAUUGCUGGUUGUGAGGUUACUGCAGGGAUGUCAGGGACGUAAACAGGUUUGCAAAAUUGGACCCAUUCAGGACUGGGUAGCAUCCACACCAUCAACAUUUUUUGUUUUCAGUAUAAAUAGUGUUUACUGUCACAUACGUACGACUGAGACUAAACAUUUUACUUUCUUCACCAGAUGGAAAUAAAUCUAUAAUGAAAUACAGGAAAAAACUCAGAGCCAAUAGUCGACUAGUUGUUGCACGUUUAUGAUAUUAAUUUCAUUAUUUAAAUAUACAUAUUUUAACAGCCAGCUCUUAAAUGCUAACAUAAAAAGUGGUAAUGAAUCUGAAUGUGUCAGAACUACCAGCAAGGACUGAACAUUUAGUUUAAUUAUUUCAACACAGUAUAACAUCACACUACAUGUUGUUGUUCUAAACACAGUUAACAGUUACUUACAAAUCAACUCGCUCUUCUUUCUCCGUGUCACAAGGACCUACUCCCGAACAAGUUUAAUUCACAUUGUGCAUUUUUUUGCGCUUUAUUGAAAAAAUAAAAAUAAAACUGAUUGCCAUCAUUUGGGGAAACUGUUGUUGUUUUAACACUUCAUUUAAAUACCUCGAGCUAAACACAUUUAAUAUUUUGUUCCAUUUCAUUUAGAGGUGAAGAAGGCACAGGAGGGAGUGUGGGUUGGUGUGCGAGUCCCAGAGUCUCCAGUGUGCACAGCUUAACCCCGGUAUCCAGUCAGCCAGGCCCCAGUUUUGUUUUAGUUUUCAUGUUUAGCCUCUACUUGUACUGGCUUGUAUGUAUUAUUAGUAUUAUGUAUUAUGCUACUUGAGUCAGUGUUUGUAAUGUGUCUGUUCAGAACAUGGUGGUCUAUGUUGGUUAUAGUUUUAACCAUUAGUGAGCGGCCUGUUACAUUUGAUGACCUCUGCUGUAUAUAGCAUAUAUUGUCUAUAAUCAUGUAAAUAAUUGACAUGAAACUCACUGUCAGACUCUUAGUUUCCAUCUCAUAGCACAAUAUUAGCAGUUGAUAAAAACAUGCAUAUGAAAUCUAGAUUGGCAUGUGGAUCGGCAUCGUUGGUCUGAUAUCCAAUGAGUGAAUUACUUCAGUAUCUGCCCCCAAUACCGAUACUGGAUCCGAUCAGUCCCAUCUCUACAUAUUAAUGUGUCAGUCCUGGCUUUACUGGUCCAGAUUGAGGACAAGGUUGGAUAUCAUGACAUGAAAAUGUACAGUUAGAAUCUAAAUUAUAACAAAGAUAUGGAUUAAAUUCUGGAUUUUAGUCUUCAGUUAGUGUCUUUAUUCUCACUAGUAAGCACUUGGCAAAAAGUGAGGUUUAGGUUUAGUUUAUUUACACAAAUAAAAUAACCACAGUCAGUACUACUUUUGCAUUAGUUUUUUAAGACUUGAACCAAACAUCAAACAACCAAACAUCCUGCCUACAGCCUCACCAGCAGACUGAUAUUAAUGUAAUUUAUAUUCUGUAUAUAAAGUUUAUACUAUGUGCAAUAUGUUAUGCAUCAGUUGUUGUUUCAUUGUUUAAAGAUGAAUCUUUUUGAAAUGUUAAUUUUUUACUAAAAUACUGCAUUUGUACAAUGUGUCACUUUUUUCUUUGAACAUAUUUCAACACUAUAUUUGAUUAACAAAAAUAGUUUAUAUAAUGAUAUUAAUGGUGGUUUACACUCCGCUGCAGGAGAGAGAGGUGUGGGGAAGGCCUGGGAGAGCAGUGCCAGGUGAGUUGACGAUCACAGCUGCUACUCAUUGAGUAAACACUCUUCCCUUAUAUUGCAGUAGUGUGCUGAGAGCGAGCGUGAGAGUCGUAUGAAGUUGUUGUGUAUUAUCUGUUGUGACAGCGACGCUUGAAAUAAAAGUUGUGUGGUACAACGGCCCAGUGUGUGAGAUUGUGUGCUGUGG
rnacentral:lncRNA from 15 species